rnacentral:rRNA from 1 species
UGCCAGCAGCCGCGGUAAUACAGAGGGUGCGAGCGUUAAUCGGAAUGACUGGGCGUAAAGGGCGUGUAGGUGGAUAAGUUAGUCUUAUGUGAAAGACUCGGGCUCAACCUGAGAAGUGCAUAAGAUACUGCUUGUCUAGAGUAAGGUAGAGGUCGGAGGAAUUUCCGGUGGAGCGGUGAAAUGCGUAGAUAUCGGAAGGAACACCAGUGGCGAAGGCGACCGGCUGGACCAUUACUGACACUGAGGCGCGAAAGCGUGGGGAGCAAACAGGAUUAGAUA